rnacentral:rRNA from 1 species
GUCUACGGCCAUACCACCCUGAGCGCACUGGAUCUUGUCUGAUCUCGGACGCUAAGUAGUGUCGGGCCUGGUUAGUACUUGGAUGGGAGAACUAGAGGAUAGUUAUGUGGUUC